rnacentral:misc_RNA from 1 species
GAUGAAGAACGCAGCGAAAUGCGAUACGUAAUGUGAAUUGCAAAUUCAGUGAAUCAUCGAGUCUUUGAACGCACAUUGCGCCCCCUGGUAUUCCGGGGGGCAUGCCUGUCCGAGCGUCAUUGCUGCCCUCAAGCACGGCUUGUGUGUUGGGCCCCGUCCUCCGAUCCCGGGGGACGGGCCCGAAAGGCCGCGGCGGCACCGCGUCCGGUCCUCGAGCGUAUGGGGCUUUGUCACCCGCUCUGUAGGCCCGGCCGGCGCUUGCCGAUCAACCCAAAUUUUUAUCCAGGUUGACCUCGGAUCAGGUAGGGAUACCCGCUGAACUUAAGCAUAUCAAUAAGCGGAGGA